UCGGGAAUUUUGGGCAAUGGGCGAAAGCCUGACCCAGCAACGCCGCGUGAGGGAUGAAGUAUUUCGGUAUGUAAACCUCGAAAGAAUGGGAAGAAUAAAUGACGGUACCAUUUAUAAGCUCCGGCUAACUACGUGCCAGCAGCCGCGGUAAUACGUAGGGAGCAAGAGUUGUUCGGAUUUACUGGGCGUAAAGGGCGCGUAGGCGGCGCGGUAAGUCACUUGUGAAAUCUCUGAGCUUAACUCAGAACGGCCAAGUGAUACUGCUGUGCUAGAGUGCGGAAGAGGCAACCGGAAUUCUUGGUGUAGCGGUGAAAUGCGGAGAUAUCAAGAGGAACACCUGAGGCGAAGGCGGGUUGCUGGGCCGACACUGACGCUGAUGCGCGAAAGCCAGGGG
rnacentral:rRNA from 1 species